rnacentral:lncRNA from 1 species
GUAAUUACACAUUUGAAAAUAAAUCGCUGAAAAUUUACAUAAAAAGAUAUGCGGCAAACAGAAAUUCUGUUGUUGCUUUGCGAUAACGUAGAAACGCAGACGUGCCGCAAUUCGAACUUUUUAAAAAAUGCCGAAUAUUGUUUACAACGUUACUGAACGAGUAUGGAUGGUUCGGGCACGUAAUUCAGGUUUAUCCUAUAGGCGCAUGAAAGAUCAAUUGCGGUGCUGUACCCUAAAAGAUGUAUUCCAUCCGUGUCUACAAUUAAAUCUGUUGUUGAGGAUUCCAAAAGAAUGGGAAUGCCAAUUCAGAUUUGAUACCCGUUCAUCACCCAAG